rnacentral:rRNA from 1 species
AGCUCCAAUAGCGUAUAUUAAAGUUGUUGCGGUUAAAAAGCUCGUAGUUGGAUUUCUGCCGAGGACGACCGGUCCGCCCUCCGGGUGAGCAUCUGGUUCGGCCUUGACAUCUUCUUGGUGAACGUAGCUGCACUUGACUGUAUGGUGCGGUACCCAGGACUUUUACUUUGAGGAAAUUAGAGUGUUUCAAGCAGGCAUACGCCUUGAAUACAUUAGCAUGGAAUAAUAAGAUAGGACCUCGGUUCUAUUUUGUUGGUUUCUAGAGCUGAGGUAAUGAUUAAUAGGGACAGUCGGGGGCAUUUGUAUUCAAACGACAGAGGUGAAAUUCUUGGACCGUUUGAAGACAAACUACUGCGAAAGCAUUUGCCAAGAAUGUUUUCAUUAAUCAAGAAGAAAGUUA